AAAUUGAUUUCCUACUGUAUUGAAUACAGAGGGUGAUGAAGGGAAAGAAGAUUCUAAGAGAAUAACUGCACAAUAGCUGCACUGAAACAAAAUGCAGAGACUUUAAUGGGGGAUCAACUUAAAGACCAUGCAGGGCUGUUGUGCUUAUAUUAACUGCAGUAUAGGAAUAAAUCAAACAGAUUUUCUUGGUAGUGCUGGGAUGUCAGUACGUGUUUUUGCUCCGAACUCCACAUAUCCUGUGAAAGUGCCUGGCCUGGCCCCAUUGUGCAGCUGUGUUCUGAGAGAGCCCAGAGAUUGAACAUUGAAAAUCACGAACAACAUUUACAUGAAACACUAGCUGCCACUAGCUUCACAUUCAUCUGUCAGGUGAUCAAAAUCUCAAUCUGAAUUUUUAGUCUGAACAUUUUUCUUCCUGUGGUCUCUUUACAACAAAAUUGCAUCCUCUUCCUUUCUGCGGCCUUCAGAUCAGUCUUUGCAACUUCUAAGUGACGGAUGAAGGAAAUCCUUAUUGCUUGAAGCAGCUCUACCUAUUUAUAUGAACCUGCCACGUGGUUUCCUAAAAUAUGAACUGACAAGGCCAUUCGUCUCUGAAAUGCUGCUGAAGAUGGUUUCAGAACUGGAGUGAUGAAGCCUGGUCGUAAUAGCUGCUGUCUCUUUCUUGUUGCCUCGUGUGCCAAGGUGUCCCAAAGCACAGCUGUGAAACAAAGUACCGUGGAAUAUUCCUUGAGAAUUCUACCCAGAUGUGAAAAGAAUAAGUGCAUUUUUUAAAACAGAUUUUAAGUUAAGCUGUUCAGCCUGAAAAUGUCAAAUAUGAAGAAGUGAUACUUUUGCUUAAUGUAAAACUGAAUCACUUCUUUAAUACGUAUAGCAUCUGAGUGAUUUAGUUAAGCUAUAUUAAAUUACAAUUCUGUUCUUGUUUUCUUGAUUAUAUUCAGAAUUACAAACUUCAGAUCUAUUGUUGUUAAAUAGGGAUAUUUUUCACUGUUCAGGUAUGAAUAUUUAAACAGUGCUAAAUUUCGAGGUAUACAGAUGAGCUAAUUUGAAAUUUUAAAUGAAUUAAAAGUUCAAUUUCUGAAAUGAUUUGUAAAGUCUUGCUUGAUUCUUGAGUGCUUCCAGGUGCUUCAAUAAA
ensembl:lncRNA